CCUACGGGAGGCAGCAGUGAGGAAUAUUGGUCAAUGGACGCAAGUCUGAACCAGCCAUGCCGCGUGCAGGAAGACUGCUCUAUGAGUUGUAAACUUCUUUUGUACGAGGGUAAACUGUUACACGUGUAUUCUUCUGUAAGUACCCUAUGAAUAAGGAUCGGCUAACUCCGUGCCAGCAGCCGCGGUAAUACGGAGGAUCCAAGCGUUAUCCGGAUUUAUUGGGUUUAAAGGGUGCGUAGGUGGAGUGAUAAGUAAGUGGUGAACGUGUGCGGCUCAACCUGAGAAUUGCAUGUGAAACUGGCAGGCUUGAGAACAGUAGAGGUAGGCGGAAGGUGUGGUGUAGCGGUGAAAGGCUUAGAUAUCACGAAGAACACCGAUUGCGAAGGCAGCUCACCGGACUGCAACUGACACUGAGGCUCGAAAGUGUGGGGAGCAAACAGGAUUAGAUACCCUAGUAGUC
rnacentral:rRNA from 1 species